UUCAGUACCAAAUCCACUAAGAGUUUUAUAAAAGAAUAAAAAGGGAAAAUAAGAGAGUAAGAACAAUGGAUGAGCUGUCCCACUGGAUUCAUUUCUGUGGUGAGGCAAACCUGAUUUCCUCUAUUUUCUAAAAUUAACAUGUUUCUGUAAGGAAGAAAACAGAUUAUAAUGGAAGAAGAAAGCAUCCCCCUCUUAGCUCCACAAAGCCUUGGGUCCCCAUCUUGUACUGCCUAAAAAUCUAAGUGUCCCCCCCAGGAGGCUGUAAGCCCUAAAUGUGUCCCUCCCUGCUCCCUGCUAUAACAUUGGAAUGGACAGUAAAAUUCAGGAUUGUAUUUCCAGGAGAAAAUAGUUUUGUUUUGUUUUUUAUUUUGGUUCACCACUUUUUAACUUUAUCUGGUAGUCAGAGGAUGGGGAAAUUUGCCAAAAAGUUUGCAUAAAGGAUUUGGUUUUUCUGAGGUUUUACAGAUUUAAGAAAUGCAGAUAUUGAUGCAUUCUGAUAUGAUAAGACCACAAUCCUAUGUCAUAGACCUUUCUGAGCACCCUAAUAGCUAUAGUUAUGGGUUUUAUCCAUCUUAGUACUGCUACCACUAUACACAGUGAGGAUGUGUGUGACUCACACCACUCAGAUCAGGGCUCCCCAAUUCCCUCAAGUAUAGUUCAGAGUUUCACACCUCCACCCUGUGGCUGUCCAGGGCCUCCACUGGGUUUAGGUGUUCCUAGAUCACUACAGAGUGAAGUUGAAUGGAGCAGGGCAGUCUGAUAGGGUUGGAACAGAGUCCACUGCAAUGAUGGGUUUUGCUCACUUGAGAAAUCACCAGGUGAAGGUUGAAGCAGCCAAGGUGCCAUCUAACCUGAGAGGUUCUCCUGGAGAAGGUGUGACAUUCAGCAGGUGAGACCUCUGCCCUCUGACAGCUUCUCACAGUGAUCCUGCCCAACUCAACUGCAGGGGACGCCAUUCACGUGGACUACAGCCCUGGCACUGUGCAAUGUGUAGCCUACAUAGCUAAAUACAGUGACCCAGACCUGGCGAGGUGCACAGGCUUCCAGAGCAGCAGGGUUCCCUUUACUCCCCACUUCUUGCCUUUUUGUAUCCAUAACUUGUACGAGGUCAACGCCCAAGGUUGGCAUUCCAGGUAUGUACCUCUUUGAGUCCCACCCCCCACCCAUCACUUUCCCUGCCCCUCAACUCAUCUCUGGGGUUGUUUGAAGGUUAAGUUCUUCCUGUCUUUAGGAAAUAUGAACCGGUUGUUGGAUGCUAAUGAUUCUGUCUCCCAUAGAGAUGGGCCAUGAAGGUUAAAGCACCAAAACAUAGAUCUAGUUAUAUACAGACAAACAUAUGAAUUAAUGAAGAUAACAUAGUAUUUGGUGUCUAGGGCUAAAGGACUAUAAGUAGGAACACCUGAAGGUAGGCACAGUGAUUAACCCUUUUUAUAGGAAAGGAAAUUGGAAUGUAGAGAGUAGUGAUUUAGCCGAGAUCACCCAACUAAAAGUGUGGUUUGUGACCCUGUUAUGGUGGAAUUUUAUCCAACCUGACUAGUGAUUUCCAGUGAGGUAAGUUCACUGAAGUAUACCAUAUAUAUAUAUAUAUAUAUAUAUAUAUAUAUAUAUAUAUAUAUAUAUAUGCAUGCACACAUCUUAAGUGCUUAGAUGAAUUUUUAAUGUGUAAACUACUUACUUCAAGAUUUAGAACAUUUCCAUUGCUUCAGAAUGCCACCUCUCAGGAGUUACACUAUUCUGAUGUCUGUCACCAUAAAUAAGUUCUGCCACUUCUGGAACUGUAUAUGGAUGGAAUGGCACAGUACAGACCUCAAGUGUCGUUUCUCGCUCUAGGUAAUGGGCGUGUGUGUGCUAACACAUGCUUGUGUACUCUGAGACAUGUUUGCCUUUCUUGGUGACACAUCGAGUACAAACCCAGAAAUAAUCAACAUGCACGGUGAAAUCGUGUGCUGACUCAUGGAUGUGCUAUAGAUUUCUAAUGGCUACAUUUGGGUUAAUGAGACUGAAGAGGUCAUAUGUUCUCACUGGUGCAGCUACAGGAUGAUGAUGCCUUCUGAAGCCUGGGUUCCCAAGUCAGCAGAGCUUCUCCAACCUCCACUGGAUAUGUAAGAGAGAUCACAAGUAGACAGAGAGGCAGGCAGAGAGAGAGGAGGAAGCAGGCUCCCCACUGAGCAGAGAGCACGAUGUGGGACUUGAUCUCAGGACCCUGAGAUCAUGACCUGAGCCGAAGGCAGCAGCUUAACCCACUGAGCCACCCAGGCGCCCCUGAAAAGGAUUCAAAUUGACAUGGCCUGAUCGAUGACAGCGCGGUGGCUACUCUUUUGGGUCUUGGCAGCUGUGAUUGUGGCACCCAGCCUUGGACUUUGCAGGCAAGAACUGACCUUCUCAUGUCCAGAGGGAUGCUUAAGUACCACAAAGAAAAGCCAGACUUAGGGAUAAGUUGCAUGAGUAGUGCAGUCCCUGGAAGAAUGCUGGCUGUCCCAGGAAGCCCACAGGACAUGUCUUGCCUGUACAGACUCACUGGAACCACACAGAAAAAUGGGAUCCUCCUGAAAAUGCCCCUUCAUCUGGGACACCUGCCUCUAUGCCAUUCCUUUAACCUGGAGACUGGAUCUGGCAGGUGGACCAGAGUAAGCACUCAGAGCAGGUGUGGACAUGUCUCUGUGCCAAGAGAACUGUCAGUAUUCAUGGGAAAACUGCCACACCUGCUUCACCUGCAAGAGCAGUGGCCAAGCUCAGGGAGUGAAUUGCAGGAUGCACUAGUGCCCUGUGGGGACUGCCCGCCUCCUUUUGAUUUCUACUUUCCCACACCUGCCACUCUGUUCAAUGAAAGGGAGUGGUUGCCACAUCCAGAUGGGGUCUGAGCUGGCCUGAGGAAAGGGGAGGUUCUAUGUUGUGAUAGUACACCCAAGCUGUGCCUUGUAGGGCUGGCCUCUCUUGCUCAUUCUGCCCUGAGGCUGCUCAGCUGAGCUAGUCCUCCCUUCUGGCACAGGGACUUACCAGGUCAUGCACCUCCAUAGCUUCCAGACCUUCAGUUCCUGCUUGGCUGGUGGGGUCUCUGCCACACAGAAGUCUGGCAAAAGGGUGUGUGAUGGAAGUAAAUCUCUCUCCAACAACGUGGUGUAUUUUAUUUUAUUGUGGUAUUUUUUUAAAAAGAUUUUACUUAUUUAUUUGUCAGAGAGAAGAGAUAGAGAGAGAGAGCACAAGCAGUGGGAGCCGCAGGCAGAGGGAGACAGGAGCCCGAUGUGAGACUUGAUUCCAGGACCCUGGGAUCAUAACCUGAGCUGAAGGCAGAUGCUUAAUGGACUGAAUGCUAUAUUUUAAUGGGAAUGGGAAUGUUGCCCAUAAUUUUCUUCUGAAAAAUUUUCAAAUUUUGGAAGGAAUUUAAUAUAUCUACCUCCUUUUUGACUGUUAAUAUUUAAAGUUUUCUUCUUAGUAUGCAAAUUUCUUCCCCAGAAUUAUUCAAUAUUCGGUUUCUGGUGGCCAUUUCCCACCAAAUUGAUGCCUUGCACUUUUCUUUUCAGGGCCCCUUGAGCUAGGGUAUCUGAGUAUCAGCUCAGGACCCUGUCUACUAAAUGUCAGCUUGUUGAGCUCUGGUUCUCAUCUUCCUGCCCUGUGCCCUAAUCCAUGAUCCUUAAAUACUUCUGAUUUGGUGUCAUUGGUUUUAUUUUGUUUGUUUUGGGUUUUUUUUAAG